CAUCACAACGUCGAGCAACGUCCAACGAACGUCGUUCGGUGAGAGUAUAAAGAUCUCAAACUACGAAACUCGGCAUUUCGCCUCGAAACUUUAAACCCGUUCCUGCCAAGAGAAACUAAAAGCUCGGGAACUAAGAAAGAGAUAAUUUCUUACGCUUUGAAGACAAAAAAACAGCGUUUGACUUAGUCAAAGCUUGCGAACUCUACAGUUUCUCUUUUCUUUAUGUGUUCAAUCCAGUACUCGAGAAAGACAAAAAUGAACCCAGAAGGACUGCCAUCCAAAGCAAUGAAACGCCAGAAGAAAACAAGGCGCCUCAAGAAAAGAAAACGCCUCGACAAGGAAAUAUUCGACUUCUCUGUUGUUCCAGUGAAGAGAGCGAAAGGAAGAACCGCCGCCCCCGAAAACACCACCCAGUUCUUGAUGGACGAUCAUGAGAAAUUCGAGCCCUUCGUCCUCUCUUCGCCUUCUCUUUCGCCCAACUCAAGCGGUUGUGAAUUCUCAUCGUCCUCAGUACGCGGAAGUCCAGUCUGCGAAAGGGAUCUUCAGUCGGUAACUGAACUUGUUGGUAAUUUUGACGAACUUUACUUCGAGAAAGACUUCAACGAUGUUUACGACUCUAUCCACGCUGAAACACUCCUAGGUCUCAGCAAGCAAGAACUCAUCUACAAAUACAUGGAAUUGGAGAAGAAAGAAGAAAAUCUGUUAAGGCAAGUAAGAGUUCUAAAUGGCGAUUCAUGUUUGAGUCCUUUAAGUUGCGUUUUACGAGCUACGGGAACGUCGAAAGAAGGAGAGAUUAUUACGCCAUCUUUGCUUACGGAGAGCAGGAAAGACGACACCACGAGGGACUUGGUCGCUGAACUUGAAGAAUUACGGAAAGCAAACCACGACCUACACGAAGAAAACGAGAGAUUACGAUCAAAUUCUAUGAGAGGAUGAGUAAAUCCGAAUUUCUAGAUUUUUUUCCGCAAGGUUUGAAAUAUUUCUAUAGUACAAAUGAAAAUUGUAAAAUGACGUGGCGCGAAAAAAAUUCAAUAUGGCUGUGAAAAUAUUUGUUCGAUAAAAAAAACUAUUAACUUAAAUAUCUCGAUGCAUAAAAAUUAAGAUUUUCAGACCAUUUUAGAAAAAAUGUAAGUACUUUUAGGGUCGUGGGAGAAAAUUGAUAUUCAUAAGAACUCUCACCUUAUAAGGUCAUGAAUAUUUAAUAGUUGUGUUGAUUGAUGUACGUGGGAGGCCAGCUGCUUUGCCCACACAGAACUUGCCAUGCAACUUCACACAAGAGUACAAUCUUAUACUGCCAGUGUGUAUACUAUUUCAGGGACAGCUUUAUCUGGAGCAGGGCAUAACACUAGGAUACUCUGCCUUGCUGUGACCAUGAAGCCCUGCCUACUAUCAUUGAUGGCCACUUGCACACCAGCCAUGCUGCUGCCCGUCAGGAGAAGCUGUUGUGAUCCUGUCAACCUGCCUUCUCUGAAGGAGGAUUGCACGGAGGUAUACAACCUUUCUUUUCUUACAUGCAUUGGUUCAUCUACUACCUACAGAGUUAGGUUAUGAAUUCCCCAUCAAUGAUGUUAGUUGGCAUAAUGGUAAUUGAUCUUGUGAACAUUGGUGCUUCAGUAUUCAGGAAAUUUAAAAUUGAAGUCAUAUGAGGUCACAAAACUCCCCGUCCUUCUGACAACCCCUCCUCUUGUGUCACUGUUUCAGUGGGCUAGAUUGGAUGGUGUUUUAUGCUCUUCACCCCAGCAGCUGCUCUUUAUUUUAUUAUCUCAGUGGGUCAGAUGGGGUGGGUCUACUAACGAGUGUUUUUCAGGUGAUGAGAAUAUCGUGAGGUAAUUCAUGCAGACAAAUGGACUCUUGCAAGUAAACAAUUAUGUGUUUACUGUGUUCACUUGCUUUUGUUUAAAUAAACAAACUAUAUGAACCUGAAA